AUUACUGUAUGUAACUUACUAUGCAUAGAGUACUUACUGACAUACUAAUUAUUUUUUGUACAUUCCAGAACCCCCUGAAUGAUGUAGGCUAUGGGGCCACAUAAGACUUUGUGCAUCCAGGGUUACGUUGAACGACAAAUUUAAACUAAAAAGCUACCAGACUGGGAUUUUAGUGUACUCCAGGAUCUAACAAAUACUACUACGAAGUGUACAGUGCAUAAUAUAGUGUUUAGUGUAUAAUCUAACCUAAGGAUUAAGUGUAGUACAUUGUGCUUUAUAGUGUCACAAGAGUUUAAUAAAGAAUUAUACCUUCAA